AACGCACAUUGCGCCCUUUGGUAUUCCGAAGGGCAUGCCUGUUUGAGUGUCAUAUAGACUCAUCUAAUCGGGUUUCCGAUAACGAUGAUUUGGAUGGCUGCCAUUUACUCUGGCUCAUCUUAAAUGCCUUAGUGGAAUAGUGUAAUAAGUUUAUCGCUUUAUCCACUCUAAUAAAUUGUUUAAUCUCUUGACCUCAAAUCAGGUAGGACUACCCGCUGAACUUAA
rnacentral:misc_RNA from 1 species